GGACCAUCAUGUCGGUCGUGCCUCGGUACGUACUGGUAUUGUUGGUUUCUCCCUUCUGAAGAACCACGAUGUCAUUAAUUUGGUGUCAUGGGGAAUCAGGACUGUUACUUUGAAAAAAUUAGAGUGUUUAAAGCAGGCUUAUUAGGCUUGAAUACAUUAGCAUGGAAUAAUGAAAUAGGACGAUUGAUCCUAUUUUUGUUGGUUUCUAGGAUUGACGUA
rnacentral:rRNA from 1 species